rnacentral:rRNA from 1 species
UACGUAGGGGGCAAGCGUUGUCCGGAAUCAUUGGGCGUAAAGAGCUCGUAGGUGGUUUGUCGCGUUGUCCGUGAAAACUCACAACUCAAUUGUGGGCGUGCGGGCGAUACGGGCAGACUGGAGUACUGCAGGGGAGACUGGAAUUCCUGGUGUAGCGGUGGAAUGCGCAGAUAUCAGGAGGAACACCGGUGGCGAAGGCGGGUCUCGUGGGCAGUAACUGACGCUGAGGAGCGAAAGCGUGGGGAGCGAACAGG